AUUGAACGCUGGCGGCAGGCCUAACACAUGCAAGUCGAGCGAGCGGCGGACGGGUGAGUAAUGUAUGGGGACUGCCCGAUAGAGGGGGAUAACUACUGGAAACGGUGGCUAAUACCGCAUACUGUAGGAUAACCCAUAUGGGAUUAGCUAGUAGGUAAGGUAAUGGCUUACCUAGGCGACGAACCCUAGCUGGCCUGAGAGGAUUAUCCGUCACACUGGGACUGAGACACGGCCCAUAUUCCUACGGAGGCAGCAGGGGGGAAUAUUGCGCAAUGGGCGAAAGCCUGAUGCAGCCAUGCCGCGUGUAUGAAGAAGGCCCUAGGGUUGUAAAGUUCUUUCAGUCGGGAGGCGUUACCGACAGAAGAAGCACCGGCUAACUCCGUGCCAGCAGCCGCGGUAAUAC
rnacentral:rRNA from 1 species